CAGCUUGCCACCUGGCAGAAGGUCACUUUCUUUUGAGCAGAGGAGAUAAUAGGAGGUACCCUGCCAGUGUUCACUGAGAGGCGGGGGUGGCAGGGGCCACAGUUGCUCUGGGAGGGUUGUGGUACCUGGGGCUGGGUGGCUCGCCCUAAGCUUGCUCUGACAAAAGAGUUUUGAGUUGGUCUUUUGACUGAGCCUGCCAAGGAAGGCAGGCCCCUGCAGGAGUCUUGGAGGGUCGGAUGCAGCGCCGGAUGAGGAUGAGGCGUGGCAGAAGAUGCGUUUGGCUCUGCAGACACUGCAUCGGGCAGCAGGGGACUCUGGGAGGCUGGUGCAGCCAGAAGGCAUGGCUCUUGACAGCCUUCUAGUAGAAUCUCUGGAAUUGUGCAUGUGAGUGGGGAUGCCAUUUGGGGUACUAUUCCCAGAAAGCCUUCCCUGAUCUCCCCAGUUGCGUCAGGUGCCCCCUCUGUGCCCACAGUCCUCUGUGCUUCCCUCUGGUAGCACUCCCCAUUAUGUGAUGAAAUGUUAUGUUGAUCUGUCUAUUCCCUGCACUGGACUGUGAACUCCACAGGAAUCCAGACCAUGUCAUAUAUCUGAUCUUCCAUGCCUAGGCCAAGGCCUUGUCGACACAAAGAUGAACUAACUAGGUAAAUAAGAGAAAGAAUGAAUCAGCCCAGAACCUGUGCUUAUUGUAACCUAGUUUUGGUGCUGUCUCCUUUGUAUCUCAGAUCACAGUGAGAUUUUUAAUUAAUGAAGCUGUCAUUGCUUAUUGAGUAUCUGAAGCCCUACCUUCAUCCCCACCUCCUACCCUCAGCUGACUCCAGUUCCAGAGAAACUCCCUGGGUUGGACUUGGAGACCUCCUGGGUCUGACUUCCAACCCUGAGUCUGCUUUUUCCUCUAAUCUAUUCUGGACCCCCUUUGGCAGUGCUGUUAUCCAAAAAGGAGAGUGGAAAAGGAGAGAGCCUGACUGAUGUCUGUCAUCUUCUCUCCUUCCCAUUCAGAUCAUACAGUACUUUAGGGUCCCUGGCAUGUAGAGGAGCCGAAAAACUUGAUAAUGGCUUAACCAUUCAGUUUUAUUGAGGACACAAUUUUCCCAAGGGCUAUAAGCUUUGUUAACUCUUCUGAUAUCUAGGUCUACCAUGUUCUUAUAUUUGUGACCUGUCAAUUCAUUCAUUUAUUCUAAUAGGCACCUGACAUACCUUGCUCCUGAUCUUCCCACUUCCCCUGUAUUUCUCCAGAGCAUUUAGUACAAAUAUGAUGGGUUAACUAUGGUGUAAUUAUUUGUCUACUUUUAUAUAUAAACUAAGAUUGCAAAAACCAACUCAGUCACCAUCAUACCCCAUGCCCAUUGAUUAACAAAUGUUAAUGAACAAACUGAAUGGGAUAUAUUUAUAUAUUUACCCUGUUUUUCAGAUGAAGAAAUAGAAACCCAAAUAAAUAUUUUCCCAAGACUGAUGAUGUAGCUCAGUGGCAGAGUGCUUACCUAGCAUGUGCAAGGUGCUGGAUUCAAUCCCCAGUACCACAAAAAAAUAAACUAAAAUUGCCCAAAUGACUUCCACUAUAAGUAUGAAGCCAAAAAAAUUCACUCUUGUAUUUUGGGGAAUUUUUAAUAGCCACAGAAAUGAAACACAUUGAUAAACUGUGUUCUGAUUGUGCUCCACUUAUUUGCUGGAGGUGGAAUCUGGAUUCAAAAACAGGCUUUUGUGCGCUGGUGAAAAGUACUAGUGAGAGGGUUGGGGAUCAAUCAUUGUUCUGUCCACAGGCAUGCCUUUGGUGAGGAUUUCUGGCUCCCACCCCAACUUGAACAUAGACUGGAUAAAGAAGGUCAUACUUAUGUCAUAUGGCAACCCCAGUCCAAAAGCAGCAAAUAAGACCACUCCCAGUCCUCACUUUUUUUUUUAAUCUGUUUUUAUCUUAAUGUGAACUAGUAUUUUUAAAAAAUCAAGAAGUUUCCCACAAAUCUAAAUUCUUGCUUCUCAAAACUAAGACUAUGGUGAUACCAGGCCCACAUCUCCACGAGAUAGUAAUCUGUCUGAGUAGCACUGCUGCCUUUAUGUGGCAUGUGCUCUUUAUGCUUCUCUGCUUCUUUCUAGGACUCUUCACUCAUUUGCAUAACUGGUACACAUUUAAAUGUAAGACCUCAAGGUUAAUUGAAAUCCCAAAAGUCCUUCCAAUUUUUCCAGGCCUCUAAACCACAUUGAUCUGAUCCUUAAGAGCAUAAAUCCUUUUACUUCACUAGCAAACUAGAACAGGUACUGCCUAUUAGCAAAGGGAAAAAAACACACAAAACUUAAAAACAGUUGAAGGAGACUAUGGGGAAUAGUGUUUACCAACUUGAGCUCUGCCUUCUGCUUUGUGAUUCUGAGACCAUUUUUUCUCUCUUUGAGCCUCAUCAGUGAUUGCACAAGAGAAUACGAAGCAGCAUGCAGAGCACCUAGUACAUAGAGAUUCCUCUGAGGUGGCAGGAACUGUGCCUACCAGCCAGACAAAGCCUAAAUAUCCUCUCUUGCUAGAACUACUAGCUGUCUUUGGUCUCUCUUAGACUACUCAGCUGUGUUCCAGGUGUAUACUCAGCCCCCAGGAGACUUGCUAGAAUGUAAACCAGCAAUGAGGGGGGUGGGUUAAGCUCAUGCUGUUCUUCCACCCCUCAUGUACCUCUUCAAUGCUGAUCUCUUUACAGUGUCCCCUGAGACUUUGUCCAGUUUAAUUUUAAGGGACUCUAGAGACCCAGUUCUCCUUCUGCUCAGAGGAAACCUGUUUCCUCAGGAAUUGGAGCAGAUGAUUAGUUGGUCUCUAUUAAAACCAUCUCGUGUUUAAUUCACUCAGUAAGCUCUCUGCAACAGGUUCUUUAUCUGGGAUUCACAGAAGGAUGAGAUAGUCCCUACCCUUAGGGACCUCCUGCUUAGAAUCCCACCCUGCCCUGAACCACUUCCAUACUAGUGGGAGGAAGUAAUACUGAGGAGGCAGCCCUGCCACACAAUGGUUCUUUAUAAGCCAGUAGAGACUUGCCGUGUAAAAAUGCCAUCAGUCUUUGAAGAUGAAGACUUAACCGCCCAGGUUAAUUUCCCUAAAAUGUCCCAGAGUAAUAAGUUUAAUUAUCAGAUGGAUACUUAAAAUUCUAACACCUUUCCUUAUUGUACCUAGAAUUUUUCAGAGCACGGACAGUAUUAAUUCAUCUUCGUGGUAUUGUGUAUGGUCUUUACAGGUCUGUUAAACUAAAUUAUAAUUUAAAAAUCAGGUUUCUAUGACUUUGUUCUUAACCCCCGUCCCCUCACUGGGCCAUACUGACAGUCACUCAUUCAUUUAAUUCAGCCUUGAUAAAUAUGCUGUGAUGCCCAAUUAUCCUCUCUUCUGGUGUUUAUUCUGCAGACACUAACUGACCCCUGUUUUGUACCAGGCCCUGAACUAGCUGUAAAGGCAGAAGUAAAUGAGACAUGGUUCUUGCCCACAAGGGGCUCAUGGUCUACAGACCGUGUAUAUAGUAAUUGCAGUAAUGCUAGAAGAAUGUAUUGUAUCAGCUUCCUCUGAGUUAAGGUUUAAAUCAUAUCCUCGUAAACCACAUCCUCAUAACUGGCCUUUGAAAGUGUUUCAGUCAGCCUCUUGGUUUGUUUUCUCAUGUUUGAAAUGACAGUGAGUUCAGGCUCGCAGGGUUAAUGUUAGGGUUCUGUCAAGCACUUCGCACAAAUGGUAGCUAUGGUUAUUGUAGUUGCUUGGUGCUGAGAAUGCCCAAGACAUGAUAGCCCAGAGGUUGGAUCAGAAAGGGCUUCUCAGAGCCUAAUUUUCACAGUUGAGAAGAAGUUCUCCAGAAAGCAGAGUGGGAGAAGGAGGUCUAAAGAAGGAAAGGAGCACAUACAAAGAGCCACAAACGAGCACUGACCGACUCAUGGGUGAGCCUGGAGAGAUCAGGCUGCAGAAGUUAGCAGGGCUCUUGUUUCACCACACCAAGUAGUUUGGUCAGUGAGGAAUCAAUGAAAGGUUUUAAGUAGGAAGUUGAUCAGCAUGUGCCUCAGUAAAUCCUCUCUGAUAACAUGUGAAGAAGUAAUUCUCAGUGGGAGAGGUACUGUGAUUGCUUGAUUCCACAGCUUCCUCACCCCUGCCUAACUAAUCAUUGGAUCCCCUGUACUUUUUUGGACCCUAUCCCAGACCUACAAAACCAGAGUCUCCAGGUCUAGAACCCAGGAAUCUAUUGUUGUUAGAGUGCCCUAGGUAUUCUGAAUGUGGCUGGGUCUAGGAACUGCUGAAUUGAGGAGGCCUAGGGUUUUGUUUAAAGAAUGAGGCCACCCAGGGAGGAACUUUUUCAUAAGCAGGAAUAGAAACAGUUUUAGUUUUUUUUAAAAAAAGAGAAGCCUUCCCCCACUUCUCCAGUUGUUGCCCUAUUAAUGAUAUUCAACUGCUAAUUUCCCAUAGCAUAUCAAAAUGCUUACCUAUGUUUGUGAUGUUCUAUAGCCUCUGCUAAAUGACUGGAAUAUAGUGUCUCUUGGGACAAGGCUCUGCCCUUGGAAAUCACACAGUAUUGUGGAGAAGAUAAAUUUCAACUACUAGGUUAUUGUGAUCAGCUUUUUUCUAGAAAGAUACAAAAAAGCAUUAGCUCAUCCCAGGGUGAAUCCCAAUUCAUUCUUCCUGUGGACUUAGGAUGUGACACCUAAACUGAGGCAGGGGGUACAGCAGGUGUGACUGCAUUACAUAUUUGGAAAAAAGGAAUGUUUAAUGGUCCUUCUUGGCAGGAUGUGUAGAAGCAGAAAAUUCUGAGCAGAGGCAUACUUGUGUCCCAGGAAGGUCCUGCAUUUGUGUCCUUUGGUUCUGUGCCCAUGCUACCACCCUCAUUCUUCAAACUCUAGGCAGCAACCAGCUGAGUAGCUGCAUGCAGCAUGGAGAAGAACAUGUGCCGUCCUAAUGGCCAUCUCCCCUUUAUACUCUACCCAAUACUCUUGGCGCCCUUUGUGAUUUUCCCCCUUCAUUCUGAAAUGAGUAGAUACCUCUAUUUUGAAAAGUGAUGUGGGGAAACUAAAACAGAAAGAAGGGGCUAGAGGGACGACAAACACUGAAGGUUCUUAUUAGGAAAUUACAGCCAUGUUAUAUAACAUGGACUGGGGGUUCAAAGAGUUCUUGAAGGUUACUUGUCUAGUCCUCCAUCCUGUACUUCAAGUAAUAAAUUUGGUUUGGGCAAGUCUCACUUAGUAAGUUUCCCUGUCAUUUCUUCCAGGGCAGAAGAGGAAAGAAACUAACGGGUAUUGAGCACCUACUGUGUGCCAGGCCCAGGCCAGGUACUUUACAUAAUUUAUUUCCUUCUGUCCUCACAACUCUGUGAAGUAUGGUAUUAUUCCCAUUUCAUAAAUUGAGGGACCCAAGGCUCAAAGACAUUCCAAGAUCAUACUGAAAAUGACAGAACUAGAAUUUGAACUCACAACUGUGUCUCCAAAGUUCAUGCUCUUUGCCCCAUGAGAAACUUGGGCUGGGUUUAGAAUAGGAAAGUGGCAGUUGGCCCAAGGAUCCAGGUAAAUCAGCAGCUUGGUUCUUUCUUGUGGCUACUUGUACCCAAGAAGAAAAUUCAAUAAGGUAGUAAUAGAGGUAGAGGGUCACGAGGGUCAUAUAACCUCAUUGUCCUACCCUCAACUCAGCUUGUACAACCAGAUUAUAUUUUCCACCAGCUGUCUUUAUAAUAAUGAAAGCCUGUUCUACCUCCUAGAAGGGCUACAACCUGAGUGGGAGUUUGAGUAAAAGUUCCAGGCCACUGAGGUGGGGUUGGAAUGGCUCCCUGAGAAUUAACUGCAGCUCUGAUUGCCAGCAUUGGAUUGGCCUGAGAUUCUUAUCUUUGAUUACCCCCUCAUUAGAGAAUCGUAGUGGUGUAGCCAUGCCUUCAGCAUAGCAUGCUGGGAAAGGGGCUUCUUUGUGUCAAGCAGCUGAGACAUGAGCCAGGGGGUUUUAAGUUUUCAUAUAUUCCGUGGAUAUCUGCAUAAAAAUUAGACAUUCCUUCAAGUAAAAAUGGUGCUCCAUGAAAAAGUGGUUUUCCCUUUGAUGUUCUAUUUAUCCAGGAAAAACUAGAUUGUCCUAACUUAAUGUGCUAGGUUCAAGCCAAGCCUAAGUUUCUGGACCUUCGUAAGUGACCAAGAUCCACUCCCUGCCUCCAAAGAGCUCAAAUUCUUCUAGGCAUUUGGUGAUAGAGAAUAUAGGUACUACACUGAAAGAAUUAGUUCUCCUUAUCCUGGUUCAGCAAAAAUGUUCAUUGGCUUUAACUAGGAUCUUAAGGGAUGCUAGGGAAGUUGCCAGAAAGGAGUAACACAAUGGUUGACAUGAGAUACCAGCUCUGAGGAACCUUUGUUGAAGUAAUGAAUAGAAGAGUGAGCAACAGUAACUGGCCUGGUGAGUUUUUCUAGGUUAGGUAAUAAUCAUUUUCUCUUCUUCUCAAAGGGAAUUUUAGGUACUAUUAUUGUCCUCUGCCUGUCUUAGUGACAGGGAGACUUUUGGAGUUUGGUGCCUUGAGAGGAGAGUGCUCUCGUGGGCUGUUUCAGAAUAGAUUUUGGAACUUGUUGCAGAGUAGCUGGUUAGAUACAGUAUGUGUCUUGGGGAAAACCUGUGCAAACAUACUAACACUUGGGACUAAAGGAAACCCCAUGGGAGGAAUGAGACCAGGUUCAAUGCUGGAAAUUUCAUACAGCUUCAGAGCAAUCCUUGGCAGUUGCCUGGUCUGGUAACCCAGAUUAUUCCCUGACACUUCCCAAAUUGUGGACAGAAAAACCAAGGUGAAAACUUCAAUCAUGCCCCCAAAGAGCUAUCCAGAUAUGCCAUGAACUAUAUCAUUAUUAAUAAUCACUGUUGCCUGACUUAUACCCACUAUGUGACAAGCUAGAUAGGCUUUGCAUCAGCAAUUCUCAAAGUACUGGUCACAGGAUCCCUUUACGUUCCUAAAAAUUAUUGAAAGCCUCAAAGAGCUUUUGUUUAUGUUGGUUAUAUUCAUAUUUGCCAAGUUAAUUAUUAAAGCUGUGAAAGUGUAAAAAAUAUUUAGUCAACAUUCAUUUAAGAUUAACAUGGACCAAGAAUGGUGGCGUGUGCCUAAAAUUUCAGCAACUCUGUAAUCCCAGUAAUUUGUGAGGCUGAGACAGGAAGAUCACAAGUUCAGGGCCAAUCUGGGCAAUUUAAUGAGACUCUGUCUCAAAAUAAAAAUAUAAAAUGGGCUGGGAAUGUGACUCAGUGGUAGAGCGCCCUGCAUUCAAUCCCUAACACAUGCGCGCGCGCGCGCACACACACACACACACACAAAGAAUGCUCGUUUUCAUUUUUGCAAACUUCUUUAUUAGAGUAAAGCCAGUUCCUCAUAUAUGCUUCUGUAUCAACUAUUGUAGUAUGUUGUUUUCUUUGAAGUAUGUGAAAAAAUCCAGCCUCACAUGGAUAUAUGGUUAGAAAGUGUGGGAUGUCUUAGUGGCCUUUCCAGUUAAUUGUAGACAUUUUUUGCAGUAUGGAAUCUGACACCACUAUCUGAAAUCUUUGUACCCGUUUAUGUUAAAAUUCAUUGUCUGUCUGACACUUGGAAUGAAUAUUUUACCAAUGGAUAAUUCUGUAAUCUCAUGCUUUUGAUCAUUUGGAAAAUAGAUUCAUUGAGUUUUGCAGAUCUUCCAAAUGUUUUUGUUUCAUUUUAUAAUACCAAAAGAUAACUUUUGUUAAUGUCAUCACUGAUUUCCUCAGAAAAGUCUUGGGAAGCCGUCAACCUCAUAGUGAUGGAUACAAGUUUUCCCAAAUUCUAAUUUUUGCUUUAACGCUUGAAUUUUAUCAUUGACCACAAAUACUGCCAGUUGUUUUCCUUGAAGUGAUAAACUCACUUUGUUCAUUUGUUCAUUUUUUUAAGAAAAUGUCUGCCAGUAUCUAUAUCUGCAUAACAAAUUAGUCAUUCCUUCAAGUAAAAAUGGUGCUCUAUGAAAAAAUAGUUUUCCCUUUGAUGUUCUGUUUAUCCAGGAAAAACUAGAUUGUCCUAACUUAAUGCUUCUCAGGCCAAGGCAGAAAAGUCUGGGCCUGGUCAGGUAAGGGAGCAGAGAUAAUGGUUUUAAUGACUGCAGAUGCCAGGCUCCUGGACCUUGCAAUUGCCUCAAUCUAGAGUUCACCUGGCUCCUUCACUGCUCAGGGGAUGGGCGUUCUACAGCAUGGAUCUCUUGUGAAUUAUCUUACUCUCUACAGAGAUUUUGGUUUUGUUCAGUGAAUCAGAAUUAUCUUGAAACCUUUUUAAACAGAUCCAAAAUUACUAGAAUCCCUAGAACUUUUCCCCUUCCCCAUCUUUGCUAAAGCUAAAACUGUACUCCCCAGAGACUCUGAAAUUUAAUCCAAGAAGAGCAGGAACUAUUACAGGGCUGUUGGUUUUAAAAUCAUUUCCAGGUUGGGAACACAGCUCAGCAGUGAAGUAGUUGUCUAGCAUGCACUAGGCUCUGGGUUCUAUCCCAAAAGCCACCAAAAAAAAAAAAAAAAGAGGAGAAGGAGGAGGAAGAAAGGUUUAAUUCAUCAGCCUUUUUGAUGAAGAAAAAUGUGGAUUCAUUCGAUGAACAUUUAUUGACAAGAUUCAGUUUCUUUGUGUGUGGAAUACUGUCCCAGGUGAUAAAAAUACAUCUUGAGACCAGUGAAUUAAAAGCCUGGGUUGAAUGAUUCUUCAAGGCAUAAGGGGUCAUGACUGCCAGAAUUUGAAAAAUGGCUGGAGAUUGCAGUCAAAGGGAACCCUGAACGAAGAACUUUUCUUUCCAAAGCAAAAAUGUGAAGGAACACAGCUACUCAUAAGGCUCAGGCAAAAAAUUGCAAGUUCAAGGCCACUCUGGGCAACUUAAAAGAAGACUCUGUCUCAAAAAUAAAGUAAAAAGAGCUGGGGGUACAGCACAGUGGUAGAGCACUACCACUGUGGUGUGAGGCCCUGGGUUCAAUCCCCAGGACUUCCUCACCCCUCACAACUUUUUUUUUUUUUUAAAGGAACAGUCAUAUUACUGACUGAAUGUAACAUCUCCAGGGUUUGGAAUCCUCACUAACCCCGGCAAAUACCCUGAUAGAUGAAACUGUCAGAAAAGUUACAGCUCCACAGUGCAUUCGUUGUACCCAGAAGGAGCCACUCAGGGCCUAGGUUUAAGGGUUGGCCCCUCUGAAUGGCCUGGACCUGAAAGCAGGACUUUAUUUGCUGAACUCAGGAGAGUGGGCAAGUUAAUUUCUAGUGUAAAUUUAAUCAGAACAAAACAGCCAAGGGGUGCUGAUAAUGAAAUGAUUACUUACUCCCUUGGAUCCCUGGAGCUAAGUGCUUUGUAUCUCUAAUGUCACUUAGUCCUCUGGGCAACUUUAGGCAAUACAGGUGGUAUCCUUACUUCACUUAGAGCUUAAUUAGCUUUCUAGGCCCUGUGUUUCUUCCUUUACCUGUGAAGACAGCCUGUCCUAUAAAGUGACUUCUAUUGAUUGCUGAUUCACUUAUUUUGUGUACCAGUUUGUCUCGAGAGAUUUGCAUCAUUUCCAUUAACUGGGGGCAUUUCAUUAAUGUCCAUUAACUGGGUAGAAUCCCUGAAGAAUACGCUGCUUUUUCACUCUAGAAAUUGGAACCAUUUGGGUAGAGAUACAGGGUUGGAGAGAUGUGGGCCUUUUUCUGCCGGAAACAGUAAUUUCAAGCACCAUCUCACUAAGCUUCUUGGUAGCUCUAUUGUCAUGGGGACACCUCACAAAUCUGAUUGAACUAGUAUAUGCCCAGCUGAGGUGUGCUCUGAGCCAGGCCCUAUGUUGCACUAAGUAUCCUGACAGGAAUCAGACCUGGUGCCUAUGCCUGGUAGAAGGAACAGAAGAUACAGGUAAAUAAAACAGAAGGCCCUAGUGUGACCAAGGCACAGUAUGCUAGAGGAGUGUGGGGGAGGAGAAAUGAAUUGCAAAUGGGACUCUCCAGAAAUGCCUAGUGGAGGCUGGAUUUAAGUUGGGCCUUUCAGCCCUGCCUAAGUAUUCAUUGGGAAACACUGGAAGGAAAAGCUUUUUAAGCAAAGGAUCCAUUUUAGCAAAGUUAUAAGGUAGGAAAGUACAUAGAGUAUCUGGGAAAUUUAAGGAUGACUUCAUGAGGACGAGGUCAGAGAUUAAAAUAUUUUCUGACAAGUCACCUUACAUUCAUCCAAUAUGAGAAAUUCUCACACUCCAUAAAAAACAGUGAUCAUUUUUUGUUUCCCAUUGUUGCCAUCAUGUAAAUGAUUAGUGCCGUAUGUUGAGCAGAAUAUUAUUACAUGUCUACCACUAGACUAUCACAUUUAUUUCUCAGCUAAUCCUGCAAAUUAGGACUUAAUCUCAUUUUACAGAUGAGUAUACAUAAAGGAUAAGUAGAAUUUAAAGUGAUGGUAGCCCAGGAUUAAUGCCACAGCUAUUGUUUUUUCUACUACACCCCAGCGCCUCCCACAAGUACUUAGGCACUAAGUACAAUCACAAUGGUCACACACUUCACUUUUGAAAAUUAUGUUUGCUUUUAAAAGAAAAUAAAGGAAACAAUUUUUUGUAUAUUGCCUUAAACAUUCAUUUUACCUGUGAAUUCUUGGACAUACCUACAAAACCAUAUAUAUUGUGUUUGACAGGCCAUAUAAAAAAUUUCAGGGGUCUGGGGUUGUGGCUCAGUGGUAGAGCACUUGCCGGGCAUGUGUGAGGUCCUGGGUUCAAAUAUCAGCACCGCAUAUAAAUAAAUAAAAUAAAGGUCCAUCUGCAACUAAAGUUAUAAAAAAAAAAAAAGAAUUUCAGGACAUGGAUGUAGCUCAGUGGUAGUGUAGCACACUUGCCUAGCGGGUACAAGACCCCAGGGUUCAAUCCCUAGUACUAAAAAAAUAAAAAAUCAAAUGCAUGAAUUCAAUAACCAGCACCCCCAUUCCCCUUUCAUAAAAAAGAAUUUCAAGACUAAUUUUAUUCAUACAAGUAUUAUUUACAUCUUUACAUGACUUUAGAAUCUAACAUGCAAACGAAAUGAGACUAUUGUAAAAUUCCUGUCCUUGUUUUUGCCUUGAUAUAGUUGCUAUAAUUACAGGGAAAGAGACAUGCACCUUAGCCCCCACCCUUCCACCCAGAGUUACUAUAGCAUCUUGCAGCUGUGGAAAAUAUCCUGAGUACAGUUCUCAAAAAGGCUUCCUUGGCCCUAAUUUCUCUAAAUACCAUCAGCUUUCCACCUUUUCAUGAGAUACUUACCAUCAAUAGGUCCAUUUUGCAGCUUAACACUGAAUAACUGCCUUUCUCUUUUAGAUGUUCCUUUGGCAGAGUCUAUUUAGGCAGUAUCUUUUAUGAAUUCCACAUGUAAAAUUUCUGUCUCUGGUAUUCCUCCCAAUUCCAUGUACUUCCCUAAAUGUUUCAUUAUAUUCCUGGUACUACAGUUUGAAUUCUUUCUUUUUUGAGAAACCACAGACACAGGUUAGUGUAAUUGUAACAGAUUUAAAGAUACCCUGAUGCCAACUCAUAGGCAGUUUUAUUAGAGACAGAUGAUGGCAUUUGUUUCAUUGGUAGGAUGAGGGUGAUGCCCUCUGCAAACACAAUACUUAGUGGAGGGUAAGUUUGGAAAGUAUAUUUGUUAUUUUUUCUGUUACAAACCACCCCAAGACCUAAUGGCUUAAAAUAACACUUAUUUCUCCUAAGUCUACUGCCUGCCUGGGUGUUUCUGCUGAUCUGAACAGGUCUGGCUGAUCUUAGCUGGGCUUGCUCACAUAUAUCUGAUCAGUUGGCUGAUUAGCCAGCAAGACUGUUUUCUCUACACGUCAUACAUCUCUGCAGCCACUCUCACAUCCUAGGCAGCCAGCCUGGUAAUGCCUUGGAGUGUGGCAGAGGUGCAUGAGUAAGCAAGCCCAGCAAUGCAAGGAAACAAGGAAAAACACAUACACACUUAUGCUGACAGCAUCUUUGCUAACAUACCAUUGGCCAAAGAAAGUGACAUGGCCAAGCCCAUGGGAGGGGACUACAAAGUUACAGAAUAUAGAAAAGCUAUUAAUCGGGGCCAAAAUGCAAUUAGUCUUUCAGUUAGGUCCCCUCUAUGUGAAACUUUCAGACUUAGAUUACUUGAUCAAGUUUUUCUAGAAGGGGAAUAAAAAGGCCAAGUAAUGGUUGUGUAUUGGGCCUAUGGGCCUGCACAGGGCUAGGCACUUUACCUGCUUUUGCAACAACCCUCACAACAAUUCUGCAAGGUAGGUAGGAAUUAAAGUUCAGAGAAGUUAAAUAACUUGCUCGAGGUCAUCCUCCUAGUGGGCAGGAAUUAGAAUGCAUGUCCAUCUGACCCCAAAAUCCAGGUUCUAUGUAUCAUCAUCACUGCCUCUCAAGAGUACCAUGGUUGAGCCAGGCAAAGUGCACAUUCCUGUAAUCCCAGCAGCUCAGGAGGCUGGUGCAGGAGGAUCAAAGUCAGCCUCAGCAACUUAGUGAGACCCUGUCUCAAAAUAAAAAAUACAAAGGACUAGGGAUGUGGCUCAGUGAUUAUGUGUCCCUGGGUUCAAUCCCUGGUACUGCCCCCCAAAAAGGAAGUAAGUUCCAGGGUCUGCCUUAACCUCCCUGCCAACAUAAAUUUUCAGUUGAGUUGAUGCUUUCUGACAAGUUCUACAAACCCCUUCUCUAAAAUGUUGCUGUGAUCCUAAAGGAAUUGUGCGACUCUCCUGAAAACCCACACAUUCUCCCAAGUUCUCUGUCGACUUAAAGCAUGCUUUCCUUCCAGAUGAGGAUUGGUCUGUAGGCUGCACAGGCAUCCCCAGAAUUGUGACCUCUCCUGAACAUGCCAGAGAGAGAAGGGCUGUCUUUAACCUUUGAAAUUCAGGGACAUCAGGGUAUUAGAACAUUUGAGCAUGAGCUUUGGAAUCAGAUUCCCUGAAGUUCAACCAUUCAUUAGCUCUGUAACCUUGGGCAACUCAUUUAACUUCUUAAAAUAUAUUUCUUCAUUUAAAAGGGGGAAAAAUGGGAGUAAGAACACCUCGUUUGCAGAGCUGUUAUAAGGACUAAAUCUAAAUUAUGUCUAUAAAGUGCCUAACACCGUGCCUGGUAUGUAAUAAGUGGCAUUAUUAGUACUGUUAGUGUUAUUUCUAAGGAGAGUCUUUCCCCUCCUGGGAAACCCUGUAUCUGUCUGUUGUGCAGGUAUCCCUUACCUCCAGCCAGUCUGUGCAGACUUGCUGC
rnacentral:lncRNA from 1 species